GGCGAACGCUGGCGGCGUGCUUAACACAUGCAAGUCGAACGGAAAGGCCCUGCUUUUGUGGGGUGCUCGAGUGGCGAACGGGUGAGUAACACGUGAGUAACCUGCCCUUGACUUUGGGAUAACUUCAGGAAACUGGGGCUAAUACCGGAUAGGAGCUCCUGCUGCAUGGGGGGGGUUGGAAAGUUUCGGCGGUUGGGGAUGGACGCGCGGCUUAUCAGCUUGUUGGUGGGGUAGUGGCUUACCAAGGCUUUGACGGGUAGCCGGCCUGAGAGGGUGACCGGCCACAUUGGGACUGAGAUACGGCCCAGACUCCUACGGGAGGCAGCAGUGGGGAAUAUUGCACAAUGGGCGGAAGCCUGAUGCAGCAACGCCGCGUGCGGGAUGACGGCCUUCGGGUUGUAAACCGCUUUCGCCUGUGACGAAGCGUGAGUGACGGUAAUGGGUAAAGAAGCACCGGCUAACUACGUG
rnacentral:rRNA from 1 species